rnacentral:rRNA from 1 species
AGUGAACGCUGGCGGUAGGCCUAACACAUGCAAGUCGAACGGCAGCACAGUAAGAGCUUGCUCUUACGGGUGGCGAGUGGCGGACGGGUGAGGAAUACAUCGGAAUCUACUUUUUCGUGGGGGAUAACGUAGGGAAACUUACGCUAAUACCGCAUACGACCUACGGGUGAAAGCAGGGGAUCUUUGGACCUUGCGCGAUUGAAUGAGCCGAUGUCGGAUUAGCUAGUUGGCGGGGUAAAGGCCCACUAAGGCGACGAUCCGUAGCUGGUCUGAGAGGAUGAUCAGCCACACUGGAACUGAGACACGGUCCAGACUCCUACGGGAGGCAGCAGUGGGGAAUAUUGGACAAUGGGCGCAAGCCUGAUCCAGCCAUACCGCGUGAGUGAAGAAGGCCUUCGGGUUGUAAAGCCCUUUUGUUGGGAAAGAAAAGCAGCAGGUUAAUACCCCGCUGUUCUGACAGUACCCAAAGAAUAAGCACCGGCUAACUUCGUG